UUGACAUGGUGCAGUGGUUUGAGUGCUGGACUAUGACUCUGGAGACCAGGGUUCAAAUCUCUGCUCAAG